rnacentral:rRNA from 1 species
UACGUAGGGGGCGAGCGUUGUCCGGAGUUACUGGGCGUAAAGGGCACGCAGGCGGUGCGGCGCGUUUCGCGUGACAGCGGAGGGCUUAACUCUCCGAGGAUGCGAAAGACGGCGGCACUUGAGGGCCAGAGAGGGACACGGAAUUCCGGGUGGAGUGGUGAAAUGCGUAGAGAUCCGGAGGAACACCAAAGGCGAAGGCAGUGUCCUGGCUGGUGACUGACGCUGAGGUGCGAAAGCUAGGGGAGCGAACGGG